rnacentral:rRNA from 1 species
UACGUAGGGUGCGAGCGUUGUCCGGAAUUAUUGGGCGUAAAGGGCUCGUAGGCGGUUUGUCGCGUCGGGAGUGAAAACCUUGGGCUUAACCUAGGGCUUGCUUUCGAUACGGGCAGACUAGAGGUAUGCAGGGGAGAACGGAAUUCCUGGUGUAGCGGUGAAAUGCGCAGAUAUCAGGAGGAACACCGGUGGCGAAGGCGGUUCUCUGGGCAUGAUCUGACGCUGAGGAGCGAAAGUGUGGGGAGCGAACAGG